GACGAACGCUGGCGGCGUGCUUAACACAUGCAAGUCGAACGGAAAGGCCCUGCUUUUGUGGGGUGCUCGAGUGGCGAACGGGUGAGUAACACGUGAGUAACCUGCCCUUGACUUUGGGAUAACUUCAGGAAACUGGGGCUAAUACCGGAUAGGAGCUCCUGCUGCAUGGUGGGGGUUGGAAAGUUUCGGCGGUUGGCGAUGGACUCGCGGCUUAUCAGCUUGUUGGUGGGGUAGUGGCUUACCAAGGCUUUGACGGGUAGCCGGCCUGAGAGGGUGGCCGGCCACAUUGGGACUGAGAGACGGCCCAGACUCCUACGGGAGGCAGCAGUGGGGAAUAUUGCACAAUGGGCGGAAGCCUGAUGCAGCAACGCCGCGUGCGGGAUGACGGCCUUCGGGUUGUAAACCGCUUUCGCCUGUGACGAAGCGUGAGUGACGGUAAUGGGUAAAGAAGCACCGGCUAACUACGUG
rnacentral:rRNA from 1 species